rnacentral:rRNA from 1 species
AGCGCCUUUUGAGAUUCUUCGGAUGAUUGAUUGGUGACUGAGUGGCGGACGGGUGAGUAACGCGUGGGUAACCUGCCCUGUACAGGGGGAUAACAGCUGGAAACGGCUGCUAAUACCGCAUAAGCGCACGAGGAGACAUCUCCUAGUGUGAAAAACUCCGGUGGUACAGGAUGGGCCCGCGUCUGAUUAGCUGGUUGGCGGGGUAACGGCCUACCAAGGCAACGAUCAGUAGCCGGUCUGAGAGGAUGAACGGCCACAUUGGAACUGAGACACGGUCCAAACUCCUACGGGAGGCAGCAGUGGGGAAUAUUGCACAAUGGGGGAAACCCUGAUGCAGCAACGCCGCGUGAGUGAAGAAGUAUUUCGGUAUGUAAAGCUCUAUCAGCAGGGAAGAUAAUGACGGUACCUGACUAAGAAGCUCCGGCUAAAUACGUGCCAGCAGCCGCGGUAAUACGUAUGGAGCAAGCGUUAUCCGGAUUUACUGGGUGUAAAGGGUGCGUAGGUGGCAGUGCAAGUCAGAUGUGAAAGGCCGGGGCUCAACCCCGGAGCUGCAUUUGAAACUGCAUAGCUGGAGUACAGGAGAGGCAGGCGGAAUUCCUAGUGUAGCGGUGAAAUGCGUAGAUAUUAGGAGGAACACCAGUGGCGAAGGC